rnacentral:misc_RNA from 1 species
GAUGAAGAACGUAGUGAAAUGCGAUAAGUAAUGUGAAUUGCAGAAUUCAGUGAAUCAUCGAGUCUUUGAACGCACAUUGCGCCCCCUGGUAUUCCGGGGGACAUGCCUGUCCGAGCGUCAUUGCUGCCCUCAAGCACGGCUUGUGUGUUGGGCCGUCGUCCCCCUCCUAGGGGACGGGCCCGAAAGGCAGCGGCGGCACCGCGUCCGGUCCUCGAGCGUAUGGGGCUUCGUCACCCGCUCCGUAGGCCCGGCCGGCGCUUGCCGACGACCAUCAAUCUCUUUCUCCAGGUUGACCUCGGAUCAGGUAGGGAUACCCGCUGAACUUAAGCAUAUCAAUAAGCGGAGGA